rnacentral:rRNA from 1 species
UACGAAGGGGGCUAGCGUUAUCCGGAAUGAUUGGGCGUAAAGCGUGGGUAGGUGGCAUUUCAUGUCUGCUGUUAAAGCGCGUGGCUUAACCACGCAUCGGCGGUGGAAACAGAAAAGCUAGAGGGCGGUCGGGGCAGAGGGAAUUCCUGGUGUAGCGGUGAAAUGCGUAGAGAUCAGGAAGAACACCGGUGGCGAAAGCGCUCUGCUAGGUGGCACCUGACACUGAUACACGAAAGCUAGGGGAGCGAAUGGG